rnacentral:rRNA from 1 species
GACGAACGCUGGCGGCGUGCUUAACACAUGCAAGUCGAACGGAAAGGCCCUGCUUUUGUGGGGUGCUCGAGUGGCGAACGGGUGAGUAACACGUGAGUAACCUGCCCUUGACUUUUGGAUAACUUCAGGAAACUGGGGCUAAUACCGGAUAGGAGCUCCUGCUGCAUGGUGGGGGUUGGAAAGUUUCGGCGGUUGGGGAUGGACUCGCGGCUUAUCAGCUUGUUGGUGGGGUAGUGGCUUACCAAGGCUUUGACGGGUAGCCGGCCUGAGAGGGUGACCGGCCACAUUGGGACUGAGAUACGGCCCAGACUCCUACGGGAGGCAGCAGUGGGGAAUAUUGCACAAUGGGCGGAAGCCUGAUGCAGCAACGCCGCGUGCGGGAUGACGGCCUUCGGGUUGUAAACCGCUUUCGCCUGUGACGAAGCGUGAGUGACGGUGAUGGGUAAAGAAGCACCGGCUAACUACGUG